rnacentral:rRNA from 1 species
UACAGAGGUCUCAAGCGUUGUUCGGAUUCAUUGGGCGUAAAGGGUGCGUAGGCGGCGCGGUAAGUCGGGUGUGAAAUCUCGGAGCUUAACUCCGAAACUGCAUUCGAUACUGCCGUGCUUGAGGACUGGAGAGGAGACUGGAAUUCCUGGUGUAGCGGUGAAAUGCGCAGAUAUCAGGAGGAACACCCGUGGCGAAAGCGGCUCUCUGGGACGGUACUGACGCUGAGACGCGAAAGCGUGGGGAGCAAACAGG